ACGCUGGCGGCGUGCUUAACACCUGCAAGUCCAGCGCAGGUUUGGAGCUUGCUCCAAAUGCUGCGCGGCGCACGGGUGAGUAACACGUGGAUGAUCUACCCAUCAGUUCGGGAUAACCAUUGGAAACGAUGGAUAAUACCGGAUACGAUUCAUUUCAUAACUGAGUGAAAGGCGGCCUCUGCUUGCAAGCUGUCGCUGAUGGAUGAGUCCGCGUCUCAUUAGGUAGUUGGUGGGGUAACGGCCUACCAAGCCGACGAUGAGUAGCCGGCCUGAGAGGGUAAUCGGCCACACUGGGACUGGAACACGGCCCAGACUCCUACGGGAGGCAGCAGUGGGGAAUAUUGCGCAAUGGGCGAAAGCCUGACGCAGCGACGCCGCGUGAGUGGAUGAAGGCCUUCGGGUCGUAAACCUCUGUCAGGAGGGAAGAACUGCACUCGUGCUAAUCAGCGAGUGUUUGACGGUACCUCCAAAGGAAGCAACCGGCUAACUCCGUGCCAGCAGCCGCGGUAAUACGGAGGGUGCAAGCGUUAAUCGGAAUCACUGGGCGUAAAGCGCGCGUAGGCGGCUUUGUAAGUCAGGGGUGAAAUCCCACGGGCCAACCCGUGGAAACUGACCUUGAUACCUGCUUAGCUUUGACUAUUGAGAGGAUAGUGGAAAUACCUGAGCGUAAGAGUGAAAAUCCCGUAAACAAUCAGGACGAAACCUUCAUGGGCGAAGGCAACUAUCUGGC
rnacentral:rRNA from 1 species